CAGCAUACUUCAACUCUACAGAUACAUUUGGAUUGUAGAAACCUCAGCAUACUUCAACUCUACAGAUACAUUUGGACUGUAGAAACCUCAGCAUACUUCAACUCUACAGAUACAUUUGGACUGUAGAACCCUCAGCAUACUUCAACUCUACAGAUACAUUUGACAAAUAAAUGCAUACACAUAUAGUGUACACAUCCAGUGUUGAUAUCAUGCAUGUACACAUUGAACAGAGCAAAUGUUCAGCCACGGGCUGAGUACACUAACAUGUACAAUAAACGCAUGCAACCAAAAGGUUGGUCAUAGGCUACGUCACAAAUGAUACCCUAUUCCCUAUAUAGUGCACUAGUUUAGACCAGCUCAAAAGUCCCACACUAUACUCUGUAUAGGUUGCCAUUUGUGACACAGACAUAGACAUGUCAGCUACUCAAGUAGCUGACAUAAACAUUCAGGAACAAGAUCAUGCUCCGGUCUACAUUCAUUAAGGAAAAUGACAGGAUAGAUAGAGGGAGACGGAAAUAGAGAGGGCAGGGGUAGAUACAGAGAGAUACAGAGAGAGAUACAGAGAGAUACAGAGAGAGAGGAAGGGGUAGAUACAGAGAGAUACAGAGAGAGAGGAAGGGGGUAGAUACAGAGAGAUACAGAGAGAUACAGAGAGAGAUACAAAGAGAUACAGAGAGAGAGGAAGGGGUAGAUACAGAGAGAUACAGAGAGAGAGGAAGAGAGGGUAGAUACAGAGAGAGAUACAGAGAGAGAUACAGAUACAGAGAGAUACAGAGAGAUACAGAGAGAUACAGAGAGAGAGGAAGGGGUAGAUACAGAGAGAUACAGAGAGAGAGGAAGGGGGUAGAUACAGAGAGAUACAGAGAGAUACAGAGGAAGAGAUACAAAGAGAUACAGAGAGAGAGGAAGGGGGUAGAUACAGAGAGAGAUACAGAGAGAGAUACAGAGAGAGAUACAGAGAGAUACAGAGAGAGAGGAAGGGGUAGAUACAGAGAGAUACAGAGAGAGAGGAAGGGGGUAGAUACAGAGAGAUACAGAGAGAUACAGAGAGAGAUACAAAGAGAUACAGAGAGAGAGGAAGGGGUAGAUACAGAGAGAUACAGAGAGAGAGGAAGGGGUAGAUACAGAGAGAGAUACAGAGAGAGAUACAGAGAGAGAUACAGAGAGAUACAGAGAGAGAGGAAGGGGUAGAUACAGAGAGAUACAGAGAGAGAGGAAGGGGUAGAUACAGAGAGAGAUACACAGAGAGAGGAAGGGGGUAGAUACAGAGAGAUACAGAGAGAGAGGAAGGAGAGACAGAAGAUACAGAGAUACAGAGAGAGAUACAGAGAUACAGAGGAAGGAAGGGGUAGAUACAGAGAGAUACAGAGAGAGAGGAAGGGGGUAGAUACAGAGAGAUACAGAGAGAGAUACAAAGAGAGAUACAGAGAGAGAUACAGAGAGAUACAGAGAGAUACAGAGAGAGAGGAAGGGGUAGAUACAGAGAGAUACAGAGAGAGAGGAAGGGGGUAGAUACAGAGAGAGAUACAGAGAGAGAUACAGAGAGAGAGGAAGGGGGUAGAUACAGAGAGAGAUACAGAGAGAGAUACAGAGAGUUACAGAGAGAGAGGAAGGGGUAGAUACAGAGAGAGAUACAGAGAGAGAGGAAGGGGGUAGAUACAGAGAGAGAUACAGAGAGAGAGGAAGGGGGUAGAUACAAAGAGAGAUACAGAGAGAGAGAGAGGAAGGGGUAGAUACAGAGAGAGAUACAGAGAGAGAUACAGAGAGAGAUACAGAGAGAUACAGAGAGAGAUACAG
ensembl:lncRNA